CACGUAGGCGGAUUGUUAAGUCAGGGGUGAAAUCCUGGAGCUCAACUCCAGAACUGCCUUUGAUACUGGCGAUCUUGAGUUCGGGAGAGGUGAGUGGAACUGCGAGUGUAGAGGUGAAAUUCGUAGAUAUUCGCAAGAACACCAGUGGCGAAGGCGGCUCACUGGCCCGAUACUGACGCUGAGGUGCGAAAGCGUGGGAGCAAACA
rnacentral:rRNA from 1 species